rnacentral:rRNA from 1 species
CGGACGGGUGAGUAAUGUCUGGGAAACUGCCUGAUGGAGGGAGAUAACUACUGGAAACGGUAGCUAAUACCGCAUAACGUCGCAAGACCAAAGAGGGGGACCUUAGGGCCUCUUGCCAUCGGAUGUGCCCAGAUGGGAUUAGCUUGUUGGUGGGGUAACGGCUCACCAAGGCGACGAUCCCUAGCUGGUCUGAGAGGAUGACCAGCCACACUGGAACUGAGACACGGUCCAG